AUGCUUGCAGUGCUCCGAGAGUGUUCAAUGCGUGCUCCGGGACCUCACAGCGCGUUUGCUCAAGAGUGUAGAGGACAGAUCAGCGUCACUCAGAGUCCCCCAACGACAGCAGCUCAACCAGGAGAAACAGUGAAGAUCAACUGUAGAACCAGCACAGAUGUGUACAGUUAUUCUGGGACAUUCUAUUUCAGCUGGUACUUACAGAAACCUGGAGAAGCUCCUAAACUCCUGAUUUAUGCAACAAGCAGUCGCCAGUCAGGAACUCCAUCUAGAUUCAGUGGCAGUGGAUCUAACAGUGAUUUCACUCUGACCAUCAGUGGAGUCCAGACUGAAGAUGCUGGACAUUAUUACUGUCAGAGUGCACACUGGGGUCCAACGUUCACACAGUGA